GAAGAAACAUAAAUAUCUGGUGUGAAGAGAACCAGUGGAGAGUUGGUCAGGUGUCUUGGUAAGUAUAGGCAUAACUUAGAGGUGGAACGGUACAUG